UACGUAGGGUGCGAGCGUUAAUCGGAAUUACUGGGCGUAAAGCGUGCGCAGGCGGUUCGUUGUGUCGGUGGUGAAAGCCCCCGGGCUUAACCUGGGAAUGGCCAUGGAAACUGGCGAACUGGAGUGUGGCAGAGGGGGGGUGGAAUUCCGCGUGUAGCAGUGAAAUGCGUAGAGAUGCGGAGGAACACCGAUGGCGAAGGCAGCCCCCCUGGGCUAGCACUGACGCUCAUGCACGAAAGCGUGGGGAGCAAACAGG
rnacentral:rRNA from 1 species